GAUGAACGCUAGCGGCAGGCCUAAUACAUGCAAGUCGAGGGGCAGCAGGAAUAGCAAUAUUUGCUGGCGACCGGCGCACGGGUGCGUAACACGUAUACAAUCUGCCUUCUACUGGGGGAUAGCCUUUCGAAAGAGAGAUUAAUACCCCAUAAUAAAUUGAAUAGCAUUAUUUGAUUUUGAAAGAUCCGUCGGUAGAAGAUGAGUAUGCGUCUGAUUAGCUAGUUGGUGAGGUAAUGGCUCACCAAGGCUACGAUCAGUAGGGGAUCUGAGAGGACUACCCCCCCACACUGGUACUGAGACACGGACCAGACUCCUACGGGAGGCAGCAGUAAGGAAUAUUGGACAAUGGAGGCAACUCUGAUCCAGCCAUGCCGCGUGCAGGAUGAAGGCCCUAUGGGUCGUAAACUGCUUUUGUACGAGAGAAAACCUAUUUACGUGUAGAUAGUUGAUAGUAUCGUAAGAAUAAGGA
rnacentral:rRNA from 1 species